UUGGAAUAUAUUGUGUAAUGUAAAUUAAUACAUAAAAAUAGUGAUCUACAGAUAAAUAGCAAAUUAAAAGUUGAGAUAUGUUGGUAACCAUGAUAAUCAAGAUCAAGAUCACCAUUGUAGUUGUUUUGCCGCUCAGAAAUCAGAAUACGGCUUGUGAGUGAGUCUCUGAAAUGGAAUCCAGCAAGCGUACCAGCCCUACUGGGGUAGUUGCAAAGGACUACCUUGUAGAAUUGAUAAGACAAGAGACAGUGCUGCAUAACAAAAGCACUGACGGCCGCAUUGUUCUGUUUAAAAAGCAAGCAUGGGCCAGAGUGGAGGAGAAAUUUAACGCCUCAAGUUUGUCGGGGAAGAAGACCGUUCAGCAACUAAUGAAAGUUUGGGAACGUAUAAAAGCAAAAGCAAAACAGGAUGACAGAGUUCAAACGGGAAGUGCGGAAAACUGGUGGAGGUCCACCUCCAACCCUCCCAGAUGACACAGCUAAGGUCAUCGGCAUCAUUGGUAGUGAGGUUAAUGACCUUGGAUGUGCAUUUGAUUGUGACACUGGCCCUUCUGUUGUGAUGAAAUCCUUCGUCUUUUGUAAGCCAUUACAUUGCAAAUAUAUUGCAUUACCUCAUAUGGGUAAGGCCAGUAGCCUUAAGUUGAGGAAAGAAUGUAUGAACUAGUUAAAAAUAAAUAAUACACAUUAUUGCAGAAUUUCAUUGGAAUUCUUUUUUGGCACAAGUUUGCACUUAGUGUGAUGACUUAAUUUGGGGAUUGAUUACACCUUUAAUCAUAUUGGGCAGUGUGUGGCAUUAUGUUGAAGACUCUCUUCACAAUGAAAAGUAAUAUGUUGAUCUCUCUAAUGGAGGAUACACUUAUGGCCAAUUUAUUUCACCAUAGCUUCUCAACCAAGCAAUCAAUGGGUAUACCCGGUCUAGAAUAAUAUUUCUGCCCCACUUCCUGGGGAUGAAUACCUGUCUUAAUUUACAGGUGUUACACAAUUGAUAAAUGUAUUUUUGUUCAUUUAUUGGUUGCUAUUCUCAGGCAAUGAAUGUAAUGAUUAGUAAUUCAGUUAAUAAAUUGCAGAUUCUGAUGUUGCAUCACCAGCAGUCUCAGAGAACACUGCCAUUACCAUUGUCCUCGAUGAACUGGUGGCAUCAUCAAGUGUUCCAGGGAGAACAACAGCAUCAGUGUGUGCCCCAAAAGCACAUGAAUCGAUGCCGAAAAAUCUCGCCACUGUAUCAAAGAAGAGGAAGAGGAGGUUUUCUGAAACCAACCCUGCAACACUCCAGGUGAGUGAACAGCAAAAGUUGUUGCUAGAAGAAUAGCUGAAGGUGGUGAAGCUGCAGCAGCAAGGAGAGAGGGAGAAGAAUGAAGAGUGUAUGAAGCUGUGGAAGUUGCAGCAAGAGAAGGAGAGACUGAAAAUUCUACUGCUGAAACUGUGGCUGCGCCUCGCACCCAUAACUGACAGCCGGAAUCACGGGAGCACAGGGCGAGCAAGGGACGCUCGCCAUUGGUGGAUCACGGCUCAGCCAGGCCUGCGGUGAUCUGGUUCGGGAUUGGCCAGCGUGUCCAGCACUCCCUCUCCUCCGAUCCGUUUCCUGAUUGGCCAGCAUGUCCAGUUCUGAUCGGUCACGUGAUUGGCUAACUGUGAUCUGGCUGAAAAGUAUAUAUAUAUAUAUGACCGAUGUACUCGAAUAAAUCAGUUCCU